rnacentral:rRNA from 1 species
AAAUGGGUAAUGUUUGCAUUGGAUUGAGACAACGUACAAACCUUAUCGAUAAACAAUUGGAGGGCAAGUCUGGUGCCAGCAGCCGCGGUAAUUCCAGCUCCAAUAGCGUAUAUUAACGUUGUUGCAGUUAAAAAGCUCGUAGUUGAAAUGAAGAGUGUGUUGUUGUGGUAAUACAUUCGUGUAUUGUCAACAUCAACCAUUCUCCUUCUAAAUAAUGUAUAUGAGUAUUAAUUUACUUGUAUAUGUAUUUAGACAUUUACUGUGAGAAAAUUAGAGUGUUCAAAGCAGGCAUUUGCUUGAAUAUAUUAGCAUGGAAUAAUCAUGUAUGAUUUUCAUGAUGUAUUUGAUUGGUUUGGUUCAUGAGAAUAAGAUUAAAAGGGACAGUUGGGGGUAUUCAUAUUCAAUAGUCAGAGGUGAAAUUCUCGGAUUUAUGGAAGAUGAACAAGUGCGAAAGCAUUUACCAAGGAUGUUUUCAUUAAUCAAGAACGAAAGUUAGGGGAUCGAAGAGGAUUAGAUACACCUUUAAUCUCUUAAAAAAAA